GGGUGGUAAUGCCGGAUGCUCCAGUUGAUCGCAUGGUCUUCUGGGAAGSSUUUCGCGGUAUGGGAUGGGGUCGCGUCCUAUCAGCUUGACGGCGGGGUAACGGCCCACCGUGGCUUCGACGGGUAGCCGGCCUGAGAGGGCGACCGGCCACAUUGGGACUGAGAUACGGCCCAGACUCCUACGGGAGGCAGCAGUGGGGAAUAUUGCACAAUGGGCGCAAGCCUGAUGCAGCGACGCCGCGUGAGGGAUGGAGGCCUUCGGGUUGUAAACCUCUUUUAUCGGGGAGCAAGCGAGAGUGAGUUUACCCGUUGAAUAAGCACCGGCUAACUACGUGCCAGCAGCCGCGGUAAUACGUAGGGUGCAAGCGUUAUCCGGAAUUAUUGGGCGUAAAGGGCUCGUAGGCGGUUCGUCGCGUCCGGUGUGAAAGUCCAUCGCUUAACGGUGGAUCCGCGCCGGGUACGGGCGGGCUUGAGUGCGGUAGGGGAGACUGGAAUUCCCGGUGUAACGGUGGAAU
rnacentral:rRNA from 1 species